rnacentral:rRNA from 1 species
UGGUGGAGUGAUUUGUCUGGUUAAUUCCGUUAACGAACGAGACCUCGACCUGCUAAAUAGUUGGUAGAAUCCUUGGAUUCUGACACGACUUCUUAGAGGGACUAUCGGUGUGUAGCCGAUGGAAGUUCGAGGCAAUAACA